rnacentral:rRNA from 1 species
UACCAGACUCCUACGGGAGGCAGCAGUGGGGGAUAUUGCACAAUGGGGGAAACCCUGAUGCAGCGACGCCGCGUGUGGGAAGACGGUCUUCUGGAUUGUAAACCACUGUCCCCAGGGACGAAAAUGACGGUACCUGGGGAGGAAGCUCCGGCUAACUACGUGCCAGCAGCCGCGGUAAUACGUAGGGGGCAAGCGUUAUCCGGAUUUACUGGGUGUAAAGGGAGCGUAGACGGCUGUGCAAGUCUGAAGUGAAAGCCCAGGGCUCAACCCUGGGACUGCUUUGGAAACUGUGGAGCUAGAGUGCUGGAGAGGUAAGUGGAAUUCCUAGUGUAGCGGUGAAAUGCGUAGAUAUUAGGAGGAACACCAGUGGCGAAGGCGGCUUACUGGACAGUAACUGACGUUGAGGCUCGAAAGCGUGGGGAGCAAACAGGAUUAGAUACCCGCGUA